UGCAGUCGAACGGUAACAGGAAAUAGCUUGCUAUUUUGCUGACGAGUGGCGCACGGGUGCGUAACGCGUAUACAAUCUACCUUUUGCUGAGGGAUAGCCCAGAGAAAUUUGGAUUAAUACCUCAUGGUAUUAUUGAUAGGCAUCUAUUAAUAAUUAAAGGUUACGGCAAAAGAUGAGUAUGCGUCCCAUUAGCUAGUUGGUGAAGUAACGGCUCACCAAGGCAACGAUGGGUAGGGGUCCUGAGAGGGAGAUCCCCCACACUGGUACUGAGACACGGACCAGACUCCUACGGGAGGCAGCAGUGAGGAAUAUUGGACAAUGGGCGAGAGCCUGAUCCAGCCAUGCCGCGUGCAGGAAGACUGCCCUAUGGGUUGUAAACUGCUUUUAUACAGGAAGAAUAAGCCUUACGUGUAAGGUGAUGACGGUACUGUAAGAAUAAGGACCGGCUAACUCCGUGCCAGCAGCCGCGGUAAUACGGAGGGUCCGAGCGUUAUCCGGAAUUAUUGGGUUUAAAGGGUCCGUAGGCGGAUGAUUAAGUCAGGGGUGAAAGUUUGCAGCUCAACUGUAAAAUUGCCUUUGAUACUGGUCAUCUUGAGUUGUAUUGAAGUAGGC
rnacentral:rRNA from 1 species